ACACCCUCAAGCCUGGCUUGGUAUUGGGCUCCCGCCCGAGUGGGCGGGGCCUGGAACGCCUGCGGUGGGCGCUGGUCCCCUCUCUUGCACCAGAAGAAGCAUCUUCACGCGGGAGGGGGCCCCAGCCGCCGUCCGGAAAGCACCAAUC
rnacentral:misc_RNA from 1 species